rnacentral:tRNA from 1 species
GCUGAGUUAGUGAAAUGGCAUCACGACGGUCUCCAAAACCGUAAGCGCAGGUUCGAUUCCUGCACGCAGUGC